rnacentral:tRNA from 1 species
CCCCACGUAGCUUAAUGGUUUGAGCACUUGGCUGUAGAUGAAUUCCCCUUUUGACACUGCAAAGCAGAGGAUGAACAAAGGGCAGCUGAUCCCGAGAGGUUCCUGGUUCGAGUCCGGGCGUGGGGA